GCCGCUCAAGCCCAUAAGCGUAAUUUGGCCCCAAAUUAUUGGAAGCUAAACGGGGGCACUUGGGUUGGUCGGUCCAGUUGGUGGGUCCCCUCUCGGGUGACGUCAUCGUCACAGGAGAGCGCAGCAACAGAAAAAGCACAUCCCGAGCCCCAGAAGUUAAGACUUUGAUCUGAAACUUUCGGAGAUUCUUGGUUUUCUUGCUUUCUCUUCUCCGCGUGCUCCGACGAGAAGACGACGAACAAGAAGAAGAAGAGAUGAUGGUGGAGCUGUUCGUGCUGGGUUGCACGGGGGUCGUGGUGUUCCUUCACGGGGCCAACUUCUUCUUCCACGUCCUCACUCAUCACUUGGCCAUUCGAUCCCUCAGCUUCCUGGGUUUUGUUGGCUGGUAGGAACCAAUUAGAAGGACGAUGGAGAGAUCAGAGAUUGAAGCGAGGUCCUUCUGACCCCGUGCAGAAGAUGGAACUUGGCCUCCUCUGCUGUAACCAUUUUGUAGAUAACCUCAUUUUGAUCGAUCUCGGAGGGUUUAUAUGUAGCUCAUAUAAAUAAGUCUCCGAUGAGGGAUUGAAGCCAUUUUGUAUGACACGGAUGUGGCGAGAUGAUUGCGCCAAAUUGUAAUUGUUCAUUGAUUCGUCUUGGGGCGACUCACUGCGUACUGCUGUUUAUACAGAUAUCGAAUAGAUGAUUGAGAGUCGGUUCAAGUUU